GUCCUAUUUCACAUAUGGCUAAAGGUAUUUCUUUCAAAAUAUUCACAGUAAGGUUUUUGUCUUUUUCUUGUUAAUCAGGGUAAUAUUUGGGGCAUCAUGAUAUAGGACAGCUUUGAAGGCUGUUUAUUUAGGCUUGGUUACACAAUUUGUAACCAAGAGUAGCUGCACAGCAAAAUAUGAGGAAAACAGAAUAUAGGGGCUGUUUGCAUUAUGAUUAAGGCACUAUGAACAGUAGCCAUGAACAGAAAAUAAAGGUAAACAGCUUCAAUGAUUUAACUCCCAGAGAAAACUAAAAUGAAGUAAUAUUAUCCUAAACCAAUAAUCACUCAAAUUAAGACUAAAAUAAAAGUAAAGACUCUUAAAAAUGCAUCCAGCCUGUUACUUCUGUAAAGCUGGAAAUGACUGAAAUACCUUAACUUAAAAUACUAGACAGCAGCUAAUUUAUUUGGAUAGACAUAGAAAUAAAACUAUCAAAAGACUAUAAAGUAUUCCAUAAUAUCUCAUAUAACCCUAUAUUACAUCUGUGUCAUAAUUCUAAAUGUACUUAUGUGUCUUUUUAUUUUCUUGUUGCCUGCAUCACAUAGGC
rnacentral:misc_RNA from 1 species